GAUGAAGAACGUAGUGAAAUGCGAUAAGUAAUGUGAACUGCAGAAUUCAGUGAAUCAUCGAAUCUUUGAACGCACAUUGCGCCCGCCAGUAUUCUGGCGGGCAUGCCUGUUCGAGCGUCAUUUCAACCAUCAAGCCCCAGGCUUGUGUUGGGGACCUGCGGCUGCCGCAGGCCCUGAAAACCAGUGGCGGGCUCGCUGUCACACCGGGCGUAGUAGAUUUUAUCUCGCUCAGGGCGUGCUGCGGGUUCCGGCCGUUAAAAAGCCUUUUUUACCCAAGGUUGACCUCGGAUCAGGUAGGAAGACCCGCUGAACUUAAGCAUAUCAAUAAGCGGAGGA
rnacentral:misc_RNA from 1 species